GGUUGAGCUCCUCCCAUUUCUGACUUCUGAGUCACAGCAAGAACCCUCCAGAAAUCCUCUCCCAGUGAAUGAUUAUGAGACACAAUCAUUUUGAAGCAGCCACUGAAUAAGGUAAACUCAUUAAUGAGGACUCCAGAAGAAAUGAUGAGUAUUAAGUGUAUCUUCAUUCCACUUCUAGCACUGGCCCUUCCAGGGCGUGUGAAAGCAGACUGGAUCAGACCCCAGGAGACUAGAGUAUCUGGAAUGGAGGGAAAGACUGUGAGCCUCCUUUGUAAAUAUUACACUUCAUCUACGGGCUAUAUUGAUCUCUUUUGGUAUCGACAGUAUCCAAAUCAGGCACUAGAAUAUAUUCUCUACAGAGGGUGGCGACACUCUGGAAAAGGAUUUGCCAGUUUUGCCAUGGAAAAGUUUUAUUCAGAGAACACAGCAAAUACAACAAUCUUGUACAUCAGGAAGGUGGUGCCUGCAGAUGCUGCCCUGUAUCACUGCGCUCUGAGGAGGCACAGAGAGGCGACUGCAUAGGGCUGCCGUACAAGAACAGCAGCACACAGGAGGAAGCAGAAGGCAGCACACAAAACCACACUGAACUGUUUUCUUCUGCAAGACAUCAUGGGCACUUAGAGAUCUUGAACCAGGAAAAUUCUGCUGUUUAGUUGUAGGCACAUAGCUUAAGCUUUUGGAAUUCUCAUUUACCUACAAUAGAGCUAAUAAUUUAAGCUAUGAGGCAUGGUCUUGAACCCUUGGGUUAAGUGCCUGGCAUCUCCUGGGUGCUCAGCAAAUGGACUUUUUGUCUUUUUCUCAGUAACUAUUUGGCCUCAUAGGAUCUUUCUAUCAAUAUCUCUUUUUUAUGCCACACUGGCAAGAAAAAUAGUAAUAAUAAAAAAUUAAAACCCUGAAAACACAGCUCCAGCACCCAGAGGCGGCUUCUUUCCCAGGGGUCCCGUGUAAACACGCCAGGCAUGGAUGUACACAGUUAGCAAGUCCAACCCUUACAGAACAAAAGGGGCCUGACACGCAUCCCUGAGCUCAUGGCCACGGGCAGUUCGGUAUUUCUCAAGCUGUGAACAGGAACAGGAGCUAGUUCCUCACAAGACCAAAGGGAAGAGGAGGAGGAGGUUUGGCAUUAGGUGGUGGAUGAGGAGGAAGACACUGCUUGAGUGGCCAUCACCAGGCUAUUGUGUCAGCUCUUACUUUUCCAGGUGGAGACGGGAGGCCAUGUGAGUGAGUGGAAUCCUCGCACAGGAUGCUUGAGCCUGAGGGCACCUGCACCUGCUAUGAUGGUUCAAACCACACUUCUAACUGACUACUACCAUCCAAUCCUUCUCUGGGCAAAGCCUAGAGUUUUUGUUUGCACAGGUGUUGGUUGGGAUGGAAAAGACAAAGGAAGAUUUAGAGCCUUAUUCAGUAUACAGUGUGUCUGCCCUGGCAGCCUUCAGCUUUCAGGCUGCAAACCUUGAGCUCCUGCACUUCAUGGUGAAGCUUAUAUCAGCCCCACUGAGGCUGGAUAAGUGCACUAGCCAUUAGCCAUGAAGAAGGACUUGGAAAUAAGAGAGCGAAUCAGAUUUAUUUAUUUAUUUAUUUAUUUAUUUUUUGCUUUUUAGGGCUGCACUGAAGGCAUAUGGAAGUUCCCAGGCUAGGGGUCUAAUCAGAGUUACAGCUGUUGGCCCCCGACACAGCCACAGCAAUGCAGGAUCCCAGCCGGUCUGCAACCUACACCACAGUGCAGCACCACACCAUACCACGGCAACAAUGGAUCCUUAACCCAACGAGUGAGGCCAGGAAUCAAACCUGCAACUUCGUGGUUCCUAGUCAGAUUCGUUUCCACUGUGCCCCAAUGGGAAUUCCCCAGGUUUUUUUUUGGGGGGGGGGUUGUUUGUUUGUUUUAAUGUUUCCUUUUACAAAAAGAAGCUUGAGUUUUAAAAGGUUAAGAAAUUCUGUGGUUAGAAAAUAAUUUGUAGAGAUCUGCUUAAAGCUAUCUUCUUUAAAAAACUGAGCUCUGAGACUAUUGCUUAAGAAGGUGUAAAAGAAUUUAAGGAGAGUAAGCCCUCUUCACUUCAGCUUGUGGAAAAUUGUUCUUAGUGUACUCUGUUGGUGACAAUACAACGUAUUGGUAUGUCUUUACAUAGUGAGCAACUUGGAAAGGGAUCCCAAGAUUCAUUUAAAUGGUUUGCAUCUUUUUUUUUUUUUUUUUUUUUUUUUUUUUUUUUGCCUUUUCUGGGGCCACUCCUGCGGCAUAUGGAGGUUCCCAGGCUAGGGUCUAAUUAAAGCUGUAGCCACCGGCCUAUGCCACAGCCACAGCAAUGUGGGAUCCGAGCCGCGUCUGUGACCUACACCACAGCUCACAGCAACGCCAGAUCCUUAACCCACUGAGCAAGGCCAGGGAUCAAACCUUCAACCUCAUGGUUCCUAGUCAAAUUCGUUAACCGCUGAGCCACGAUGGGAACUCCCUAAAUGGUUUGCAUCUUUAACUCAUUUCUCGGAAUUUACAUUUAGGACCAAUCUUAAGUAGAGAAAAAACUGCUAGGCAAAAAAAAAAAAAAAAAAAAAAACGCACUAGUAAAAUUUUUUAACCAUUUAGAGAAAUUUGAGUGAAAGCUGUACAACGAUUUAGUGAGGUAAUUAAUAAAACUAUAACAACAUGGAUAUGCUCUUGCCAUACAGUUAAGGAAAAUAGAGUAUGUAUUUGUAACUAUGCCAUGCUUAACACUAAUGUUAUACAAUUGAAUCACAUAGACAAAAGCUGGAAGGUGUGAUGCAAAAAUGAAAAUAGGAAUCUAUUUAUGGCAUUGCAUUUCUCAGCAUUUUAAUUUUUACUUCUUUAGGCAAAAAUUAUGGACUUGUUUCUACAUAGAUAAUUUUUUUUUUUUUUUUUUUUUGUCUUUUUGCUAUUUCUUUGGGCCGCUCCCACUGCAUAUGGAGGUUCCCAGGCUAGGGGUCCAAUCGGAGCUGUAGCCACUGGCCUACGCCAGAGCCACAGCAACUCAGGAUCCGAGCCACGUCUGCAACCUACACCACAGCUCAUGGCAACGCCGGAUUCUAACCCACUAAGCAAGGGCAGGGACCAAACCCGCAACCUCAUGGUUCCUAAUCGGAUUUGUUAACCACUGCGCCACGACGGGAACUCCUACAUAGAUAACAUUUUCAGAAGACUCUUGGCUCCAAACUUUGUAGCUGGUGUUAAAUACCUGAGGACUUUUCUCUGUCCCAGAUCAGCCCCCUGCCCCCUUGCCCUUCCUUCUCCCUUAAUCCUUAGACACCAGGUUUCUGGCUACCGCCCCCCUAACUUCUCUUCCUUUGUUCUCUCAGACUCACUGACAGAGCCUCCACUGGAAUGCCCUGUGUGUCUCCAACUCAUCUUCGAGAUGGACAAGUAAGAAAAAGCUACCAUCAGCUAUCUGUAGUAGACCCAGUUGGUGGAAGAUUGAAUAUAUGGUAGCAGAAAUCUCCAUCGACCGUUCAUGGGAAACCAUUUCUGGUUUCAAAGAGGGAAGAGUAG
rnacentral:lncRNA from 1 species